AAGAACGCAGCGAAAUGCGAUACGUAGUGUGAAUUGCAGAAUUCCGCGAAUCAUCGAGUCUUUGAACGCAAGUUGCGCCCGAGGCUCGUCCGAGGGCAUUUCCGUUAGAGCGUCACC
rnacentral:rRNA from 1 species